rnacentral:lncRNA from 1 species
CAACAAUACCAAAUUGUUGGGCAACAUCAAGAACCCAUGGAAGGAAAGCAUCAUAGAGUAUGCAAUCAAUAGGACGGGGUGAGUUCUUAUGCUUUAUGAUAAGUUCGGUCAAGGUUUUUGACCCAACAGUUUGUAAUCGUACAAGGUAAUCGUCAAUACUCCUAACUUCAAAGAAUCUGCCUUCAUCACAACCAUCUGAUAUCGUGUCGAAAUCGAUGUCGAAGUUGAGUAAUUCGGGUUUCAUGGUUUCGGAGAUGAAGACAGUGGUGGCAAAGGUUGCUUUGAGUCCUUUGGAGGAUAAGCGUUUGGAGAAUUGAAGCAUUGGGUUAAUAUGGCCUUGGGUCGGAUACGGAAUGACCAAUACAUGACCCCUAUUGUUAGCUUUUUUCUCCAUUUGUUUUUGUUCUCCAAUAUAAUUUAUGUUCUUCAAGAAUACUGUAGUAUGCUAUUUAUAUUGGUAGAGUGUGUAAGACCACGACUAAUCUUAAAAGGAGUGGAUGGAAAAAGGAUUAUGUCAUAUCAAUGGAUAGAGUUCUAUAGCCCCAAUUAUAGGGAAACAAAAAAAAGUAACGAGCUUUUCUUUGAGUUGUUUAUCUUCAAAACCGAUCAAAUAUAUUUUUUUAUACAAUGUAUAGAAUUAUUUAUAACCCUUAACCCUUAAAUAAGUGAAUAAACGCGUUUCAACACACUCGAACUCACAUCGUCCUACAUUGCCAAUAAUAUUCACGCCAGUCGAACCAAUACUGAAUUGACACAUAUUAAAUAUAUUUUUAAAUAUCAAUCAAUAUCAAAAUAUGAGUAAAAAAUAAAACGAUAUAUAGGUUUACAAGUGUGGAAGGAUUUUGAUCAUAGGAUCUCAAAAAAAUAUAGAUAAGAUGAUUUCAUCCACACAAAAUAUAGGCAAUAUUUUCAACUUUACACCGAAUACAAACAAUGUUCCUUGAUUGAAUCUAAAAUUAUUGAACCAUCCAUCCCUUUCAUGAUAAUGAUACCUUUUGGGUUCAAACGUUCAAUAAUUCAACAAAUAUUGUUCUACCACAUACGUAGACUUGUACAGCCCGACCCGAAGGUCUGUCCGAAAAAUGAAAAUAUUUGGAUAAAAAUAUAAGCUUAAAAGAUGAGUUUCGGCAAAAAAAUUAAGCUCGUUUAGAAAACGGGUUGAGUCCUAAGUAAAGUUUUUUUUUGCCCCGAGCUUGGCCUGGAUACAUGUCUAAAAGUAUCGAUACCCUUAACAAAGUAUUUGUACUUUCACAAAAGUAUCAAUACCCUGCCUGGUAUCAAUACCGUUUUAAGGUUAGAUGUUUUGAAAAUUAAAGAAAAAUUGCUUGAGUGUCGAUACUCUCUCUAAGGUGUCGAUACCUCAUAAUGUAUCGAGAUUAUAAGUUUUAAUACAGGUCAAGCCGGUCCGGGCCCGGGGUUAGCAUAUAUAAUCUAGGCCGGUUUGGGUAAAAAUUUACACCCAUUUUUGAGCCGAACCUAAAAUUUUGUUAAAACUCGGCUCAGCACAUGAACAACUCUAAUCACGCUAGAUUUCUAAAUAAGAAGUAAAACUCUUUUAACAUUGCUGUUUCCGUUCAUAAAAUUUGAAUUUUAAAACAAAGAUAUAAGUUUCUAAUCUCUCAACAUAAUAAGCAUUGAUAGAGACUAGGAUGAACCCUGAAAUAUUAUAAAAGAAGUCCAAAAUAUUACUAAUUAUGGCAGCAAUAGAACCACUUGUUCCCUUUGUAUCAAAUUUUCAAUUUUAUAACAUGUUCAAUUUUAUUUUUUUUACAUAUCGUAUGAAUAUUAAAAAUAUAACAUUAUAAUAUAAAUAUUAAAUAAUAUUUAAGUUUAAAUAUUAUAAAAUUCAGUCCAUGCAAAAAAUGUUUAUCUCUAUACUCAUGUUGUAAGUUCGAGUCACAAGAAUUGUUUACUGAUAGUGUGUAUAUAUAUGGCAAUGGUUUGCUACUAUCAGUGGCACGUGAGCUAUGCUAAAUAUAUAUACAAGUCAGAAUAGGGUACCUAACCAAAUUUGGAUUAAUCAUUUAUAAAUAUAAGAAAUAAAAAUAAUUGUAUAUAUGAAACUCGAUUUUGAUUUAAAUACGAAAUUCUUUGCUUAUACAAUAUGUAAAUAUAAAAUGAUAUUUUUUCGCACAAACGAAAGUUGGUGUAGUUUUGAGAUCUUUUUUCCUUUUCAUGCAACAAUUAUUGAAUAAUAUUGUUGGCUUAACUACAAUAUUAGACCCUAAAUUUUUUUUUUACUUCGUUACUUAAUUUAUUUUUUUUGUUAAAAAUAGUACCUAAACUAUCAAUUUCAUCUCAUUUUACCCAAAAUGGUGUAUGAAAUCCAAUAAAAACAUGCUAUAUGUCACAUUCUUAUUGGCCAUUGUCAUGUUUUGGAAUAAAAUGAGAUAAAAUUGAUAGCUUAGAUUUAGAGGUGCUAUGGGCCAGGUUCGGGCUAGGCAUAAGCAUGAUUUUAAUAUACUUUAUGUUUGUCCAAACCCGGCCAAGAAUAUGGGCUUAAAAUUUUGCCCAAACCCGUAAAAUUGUAAAAGGCUAACCCAAGUCCAAUUUAGCCCCGCCCAUAUUAUUUUUUUGAUUUUUUUAAAAAUAUUUAUAUUAUUUUAUCUUAUUUUAAUAUUUAAUAAUUUUAUACAUUUUUAUUUAUUGAAAAUUUUUAUAUAGUCAUCUUAACAUUAUUUUAAUGUUUACAUUAGAGUAGUAUUAUAUAUUUAGUAUAUGUUUAUUUUUUAAUGUGUUAUAAAUAACAUAAUAUAAAGUAUUAAAACCUUGAAAAUGGGUCGGGUUGGGCUUGAGCCUUGAAUAUUUAAGCCUGAGCUCGACCCAUACUUUAAACGAGCCUAAUUAUUUUUCCCAGACCUAUUUUUCGAACCUAAUAUUUUUGCUUAAACCCUCUUUACAUACAUUGUACCAAAGAGAGCUGAAUAAUCAUAUCGAUUUAAGACAUUUUGAGUGAAAUUUGUGUUUUGAUCAUAAUUGAAUCACUCUAGCUUUUACCUAUUUUCUAAUAACAUAUAAUAUGCGUUAAUGCAUAAAUCACUUCAACUAAGUCUCGAAUUUGUGAUUUUAAAUAUUUUGUUUACUAAGAACACUAACCCUAUUUACAUCGUGCCAAUAUUUUAGAGACCAAUUCAUCAAUAUUCUUGUCCGAACUUCCACCUUCACACACUGCUUCCACAGCCAAUUCCUUCCAUUUCAUAGCAUUUCUUUUCAUUUCAAUCCCUUCUUCCCCUUCCAUAACUUGUCUAAUACACCUCUCUAUUUCAUCUCCACUCACAAUCCCAUCCUCCCUCACAUUAACUCGAACCCCAACUUUCCAAACAUCCUCAACUAGCUUAGCAUCCGUGGUUUGGUCUGUCCACUGCGGCAUCGCCACCAUCGGUACCCCCAAACACAAGGCCUCAAUCGUCGAGUUCCACCCACAAUGCGUGAAAAAACACCCUAUGGCCUCAUUCGCAAGUACCUCAGUUUGUGGUAUCCAAGUAACUAUCAAUGCUUUAUCACCCAUUUCCUCAAUGAACCCGUGUGGGACUUUCGGUAACUCGGAAGACCGAACCACCCACAAGAAAUGAAACCCAGUUUGCUUUAAACCCCGUGCGAGUUCCUUCAUUUGGUCGAUGGUUAGGUUAGCCAUGCUUCCAAAUGAGACGUAAAUGACCGAGCAUGGUGGCUUGGUGGUUAGCCAACAUGUACUGGUAGAGUCUAGUUUAAAGAGAUUGAGAUCGUAAUCUUUGUCGUUUUCAAGUCUUUUAUCUAAAUACAUGGAUGGGAUUGUUGGGCCUAUCGUUAACAAUGGUUGAGUCAUCACCUUCGACAUCGAAUCAACAACCUGUUUAUAUCAAAGAGAUCAUUACAAAAUGGUAAAAGUACCUUGCAUGUCCCUAUACCACUUGAUGCAUUUUUGUUUUUAUACUUUUAAAAAUAGUAACAAUAUAAUAGUGAAAUGAUAACAAAACAAUAAAAAUCAGUGAUAAAAUAGUAACAAAAAUAUUUUUUUUACAAAUUCGUGCCGAGCCUAGGCAAAAAAAAGCUUUCCCAUUUUUCGGGAUUAUAUUUUUGCCCAAAUCUUCUCACUUUUCAAGCUGGCCUUCGAGUUGAACUGGGUGACUCGGCUCAUGGAUAAGUCUAGGUUUUAGUUAGGGUUUUGAAACCAAUUCUCUAGCUAUCACUGCCACCGGGGUGAAUAGAAAUAUUUUUUUGUCUCAAUUUGGCACUUAAGUUUAGCUUAAAUAUUCAAUUUGAUACCUAAGUUUUUUUUGUCCCAAUUAGGUAUCUAUGUUUUGCUACAAGAAAACACAUGUCAAACAUUCAUUAGCAAUAUGAUGUCAUUUGGUUUGGAUACCAAAUUGAAAAAUGAAAUUAAACUUAAAUAUCAAAUUGAAAAAAAAACCCUUAAAAUACCAAAUUUAAAACUAAACUCAAUACUAAAUGAUAUAUUAACCGCUUGAAUUUCUCAAAAAAAUAGAUAAAUUUAAUAUAAUAAUAAAAUGAAAUAUUUAAAUACUAUUAGUUUAUAUUGAUACGAUUGACAUCGACAAUUAUUAUUAAUUGAAGUUAUUAUUAACUAAGCCCAAAAAUAUUAGAGCAGAACUCAAUCAAGUCCUAAAAUUGAGAAGAAAAGAGAGAGAGAGAGAGAGAGCCUUAUAUAGUUAAAAGUAAACUAACCUCUUGUUCCAACUUGUAGAAGCUAUUAACUAAAAUGAAAUCAACUUUGUCUAUAUUAGAGAAUUGAUUCAACACCAACUCGAAAUAAGAUGGAUACGAACCCACAACAUAGAUAAAUGACGGCAUGUCUCGAAGAUCAAGCAACGGCAACCCGGGAAUGACAAUUGGCAUCAUUGACGAUGAAAUCGGAAGACUCAAAAGCCCGUUACGAGCAUAAUAAUAUAUGUAAUCCACGGCGCACGCCUGCGUAAAAAAAGCGAUUCCAACAAUACCAAAUUGUUGGCCAACAUCAAGAACCCAUGGAAGGAAAGCAUCAUAGAGUAUGCAAUCAAUAGGAUGGGGUGAGUUCUUAUGCUUUAUGAUAAGUUCGGUCAAGGUUUUUGACCCAACAGUUUGUAAUCGUACAAGGUAAUCAUCAACACUCUCGACUUGUAAGAAUCCGCCUUUAUCACAACCGUCUGAAAUUGUGUCGAAAUCGAUGUCGGAGUUGAGUAAUUCGGGUUUCAUGGUUUCGGAGAUGAAGACAGUGGUGGCAAAGGUUGCUUUGAGUCCUUUGGAGGAUAAGCGUUUGGAGAAUUGAAGCAUUGGGUUAAUAUGGCCUUGGCUUGGAUAAGGAAUGACCAAUACAUGAACCCUUUUGUUAGCUUUUUUCUCCAUUGGUUUUUGUUCUCCAA